CACCGGCGGCUCGAAUGGUGGCCACUUUUAUUGGGUCUAAAGCGUCCGUAGCCGGCUUGGCAAGUCCCCUGGGAAAUCUGGCGGCUUAACCGUCAGGCGUCCAGAGGAUACUGCCAGGCUUGGGACCGGGAGAGGUGAGAGGUACCUCAGGGGUAGGGGUGAAAUCUUGUGAUCCCUGAGGGACCACCAGUGGCGAAGGCGUCUCACUAGAACGGGUCCGACGGUCAGGGACGAAAGCUGGGGGCACGAACCGG
rnacentral:rRNA from 1 species